GACGAACGCUGGCGGCGUGCUUAACACAUGCAAGUCGUACGGUAAGGCCCUUUCGGGGUGACACGAGUGGCUAACGGGUGAGUAACACGUGAGUAACCUGCCCACAACUGUCGGAGAACGCUAGUAAACUGGUUCGAAUACUUGAUAUGUACUCCUUCUUCAUGGUUGGUGUUGGAAAGCUCCGGCGGGUGUGGGUGGACUCGCUGGCUAUCAGCUUGUUGGUUGGGUAGUGGCCUACCAAGGCGGCGGCGGGUAGCCGGCCUGAGAGGGUGGACGGCCAAAUUGGGACUGAGAUACGGCCCAGACGCCCACGGGAGGCAGGAGUGGGGAAUAUUGCACAAAGGGCGCAAGCCUGAUGCCGCCAAGCCGCGUGCGGGAUGACGGCCUUCGGGUUGUAAAACGCUUUCAGCAGGGAAGAAGCUUUUUGUGACGGUAACUGGAGAAGAAGCACCGGCUAACUACGUG
rnacentral:rRNA from 1 species